rnacentral:rRNA from 1 species
CGAGCACGCGCGUGUGGCAUAUCAAUAAGCGGAGGAAAAGAAACUAACAAGGAUUCCCUUAGUAACGGCGAGUGAAGCGGGAAGAGCUCAAAUUUGAAAUCUUAAAGGGUUCUACCUUGACGAAUUGUAGUUUAUAGAAGUGUUUUCUGUAGUGGAGUUCGGUAAAAGUUCUUUGGAAUAGGACAUCAUAGAGGGUGAGAAUCCCGUAUUUUGGUCAUUCCUCCUAGCGUUGUGAUACACUUUCAACGAGUCGGAUUGUUUGGGAAUGCAGUCCAAAAUGGGUGGUAAAUUUCAUCUAAAGCUAAAUAUUGGCGAGAGACCGAUAGCGAACAAGUACCGUGAGGGAAAGAUGAAAAGAACUUUGAAAAGAGAGUUAAACAGUACGUGAAAUUGUCAAAAGGGAAGCGUUUGACACCAGUGUUGUUUAGUUCGAAAAUCAAUUAAGAUAUGUUUUCGAUUUUGAGGAGUAUUGACCUUAUCAGGCUUGCUUCUUUUUCUACGAAACUUAUUUAAUGCACUUUUCAGGUUAACAAGUCAACAUCAAUUUCUUUUGUUGUAAAAGGGUAUGAGGAAGGUGGCUUUCUCUUCGGCGCAAGUGUUUAUAGCCUUGUAGCCUCUAGCAAUCGGAGAGAUUGAGGUCUGCAGCGUAGAUCCUUCGGGGUUAGAUACAUUUGUGCUAAGCUAUAGCCUUGUAUAGACAACUUGUUGACUAUGCUCAGUCAUGUAGCUUACUCGCUUAUGCUAAUUUUACCUACGCUUAGGAUGUUGAGUAGCGACAUACGCAC